rnacentral:rRNA from 1 species
UAAGCGGAGGAAAAGGAACUAACAAGGAUUCCCCUAGUAACUGCGAGUGAAGCGGGAAAAGCUCAAAUUUAAAAUCUGGCGGUCUUUGGCCGUCCGAGUUGUAGUCUGGAGAAGUGCUUUCCGCGCUGGACCGUGUAUAAGUCUCUUGGAACAGAGCGUCAUAGAGGGUGAGAAUCCCGUCUUUGACACGGACUACCAGUGCUUUGUGAUGCGCUCUCAAAGAGUCGAGUUGUUUGGGAAUGCAGCUCAAAAUGGGUGGUGAAUUCCAUCUAAAGCUAAAUAUUGGCGAGAGACCGAUAGCGAACAAGUACCGUGAGGGAAAGAUGAAAAGCACUUUGGAAAGAGAGUUAAACAGUACGUGAAAUUGCUGAAAGGGAAACGCUUGAAGUCAGUCGCGUUGUCCGGAACUCAGCCUUGCUUUCGCUUGGUGCACUUUCCGGAUGACGGGUCAGCAUCGAUUUUGACCGUCGGAAAAGGGCUGGAGUAAUGUGGCACCUCCGGGUGUGUUAUAGACUCCGGUCGCAUACGGCGGUUGGGAUCGAGGAACGCAGCGCGCCGCAAGGCAGGGGUUCGCCCACUUUCGCGCUUAGGAUGCUGGCAUAAUGGCUUUAAACGACCCGUCUUGAAACACGGACCAAGGAGUCUAACAUACCUGCGAGUGUUUGGGUGGCAAACCCGAGCGCGUAAUGAAAGUGAAAGUUGAGAUCCCUGUCGUGGGGAGCACCGACGCCCGGACCUGACGUUCUCUGACGGAUCCGCGGUAGAGCAUGUAUGUUGGGACCCGAAAGAUGGUGAACUAUGCCUGAAUAGGGUGAAGCCAGAGGAAACUCUGGUGGAGGCUCGUAGCGAUUCUGACGUGCAAAUCGAUCGUCAAAUUUGGGUAUAGGGGCGAAAGACUAAUCGACCAUCUAGUAGCUGGUCUGC